GUUCUAUGGUAGUGAAGCUUUUUGGGUUUUUUGUUCUGUUUUCUGAAACAGGUCUCGCAUAUUCUUGUCUGGCCUACAAUUCAAUUUGAAGAAAAGACCAGCCUUUACUUUGCAGAGAUUUUCUUGCUUCUGCCUCCCGAGGGCUGAGACUACAAGCUUGUCAUUUGCACAAAUAACGGAUGGACUGUCAUCGCUCUGCAAAAUUAUCUGAGCACAGCUUUGGACAUGCUCAGAGAACUAAAAGGACAUUUUGCAUUAUCUGAUCACUUUUCAACUUAAACACACACUUCCUCAGGCCAGAGUAAGGAGCAAGCCUAAGAAGACAACCAGACUGGCAACGUGGGGCCCAGAUAGAAAGCUAACCUGAUAUGGACACUAGUCUGGAGCCAUGCAGAGAGGCAUAUCAUGUCCAAGAUGACCCCUGCCUGGUGCCAUAAUGUACAAGUAAGCCAUAACACUCCUGAGACUGCUCCUGGACACCACUAAGAAGAACAAGUAGGUGGUGGAAAAUGAAAGAGAAAGAGAAACAGGAUUACGCACAAUGAAGAGGGGCAGAACUGGAGACUUGACGGUAGUGAAGAACAGCCUGAUGAAAAUUCUGUGAUCAUACCCUAUACUCCAUCACCCAGGAAGAGUUGGCCUGAAAGAAUGAUAAAGUGCCUUACAGAAAACCAAAUUAAGAAACCUUCAAAAGAGUUCCAUUGAGCAUGGCAUGAAGAAAUUGGCAUCACCUACCAGGUCCCAAUCAGGCCAUCUGCCCCUAUAUUUAAAGGGUAUUAUGAUGCAUUCUACGCCGGAAAAUUUCUUGCAUGAGAAUGUGUGCACCUGCAAGAUUAUUUGGCUUUAAGAGACUGCUUUCCAUAUUACCAAUUCUUCCUCAUUUCCAGAAAUUAUCUUAAAUACCAUCUCCUCAAAAGUUCUCCAAUGAUCAUUUUAUAAAAUUAAUAUUUCCUGU